UGCCGCUGCAGAUCUACUAUCUCAUAACGAACAGUCAACUCAGAGAGCGGAAAAGGGAUGAUGCUUUUUGACCAAAGGGCGGAGGACCGAAACCAAAGGAGGUGGCCAUUCCAGUUGGACACAAAUUACGCUUACUGACAGACGAGAGGAGUGUGGGAGAGUGGCUACAAGUCAAGGGUGGAGGACUUUGACCUGCGGGAGCAACGAUAACUCAAAGAGACGAAGAGACAGUAAGAGAAAUGAUGAUCGAAGAAGAAAGGCUUUUGGCCUGGGAACGCGCGUUUCCCUUCGGACCCGCGAGUUUGGCCGCUCCGCUCGAGAUGACUUCACACGUUUUCCACUGCAGGGAUGGAUGGCUAUAAUGAGAGUUCCAGCGUCAAGCUAUUUUUAAGGAUGGAGACAGGCUGUUAUUGCGUUGGAGGUAGCGAGGCCUUUGGGGUGGUGGAUUAUUCCACAGACCUGCACUUCAGACUUCACGGCUUCUGAAAAUGACUGUCCUACCGAGCCCUCCCAAUGGUCCCCCCAUAAUCACAAAGGGCAGCCAUCCAUAAAUUAAUGUGGUAUCUGCUUAAACUGUCAUCUCACCAAUAUUAGGUGAACCCAAGUUCAAGUAUCGACAUCGUAUAAUUGGGAAGAAAUCGGAUGUCUGAAAGCCUCAUUCCUCUCUAGGGUUCACAGAAAUUGGAUUUGUUCAUCCAUGCCUCACAGAUAUGCGCUUUCAACAAAAAGCAUGUUUUCCCAAGUAUGCGUAAGACCAGGAACCUUUUUCCAUAAUGUUUCUCUUCUACCAGGAAUUUCUCUUAUCUUGACUAUUCACGGGAGUAGGUGUGAUAUCAUGACCAAUGAGCUUGUACAGGGAUCAGCCAGCCCAGUCAGUCCUCAUUGAUUUUACUUGAACACAAAUCUCAAGCUUUUACUAAACAUAACUAAUCUGCUUCCCUGAAGCUGAGGUCCUCGCAGAGUCUUUCGGAUGGAUACAUACUGAUGGUGAGGAUGGGGAUGAAGAGAAGCUUUAACUGAAGUAAUAUGUAGGAGAUGAAGAAGAUACAUGAAAACGUGUAUAGGCCAUUUCAGCAGAUAUUUGUUGAUACUAAGUAUUUGUUAUCAGGUACAAUGCUGAAUUUUACACAGAAACUCUAUAAGCAUAGAGACCCGUACAAAAACAUAUGAGAAAACAAUUACUGAGUCGUAAGGAUAUCAUAGAAUUACAGCAUAUUGCACGUCUUACCAGAUACUUAUCAGAUACUCCUUAUCUUUUGGAGGAAAGAUGAGUUUCAGCCUGGCUCAGUAGAAACCAAAGGCUGCACUGCGAGUUAGAGGGUAAUUAAACAUACAGUAUGCAUACUUUUGGAAAGCUAGCCAAGACAACAAAUAGAAAAAAAAGAGAAAAAUAAGGUCAAAGUUAUCUCCUUAAGCUUUAAAAUGGAGGAGAAAACCUGUGUUUUAUACAAUAAUUUAGGGACCUUAUUAGAAAGUGAACUGUAACAUUUUUCCUUUUGCAUUUAGAUGUAAUGAAAUAUUUAAGCAAUAGGGUACGAGAGGCUUUAUCGCCCAUUAAUGUAACAGUUCGGUGGUGUUGUUAGGCUUGAUGCGCAGCUUUUCAGCACAAAAUAGCAUUAGCCACCAAACGUUGUGUAUCGCAAAUCAAUAGUCUGGAGAAAAAUAGUGUCCAUACGUCCACGUAAACAGGAUUGGGUCUCCUGGCAAGAUCUCGCACCAUCUCAUUCAUUCACAUCGCUCGUGAUGUCCAAGUGAAUUGUUCGGUUGCGAAAACUCUCAUUGCCCGAAACCAAUCCUCUGGGGAAUUUCCGGUCUUUUUUCGCUGAUCACCACUGAGCUAAAAGCUUUAAUGUCAACUAACCGUUGCGCUAAAUCUAACCUGUUACUUUGAGUGCGCAGUGAUAUGGAACGCUCGGGUCAAUGUGAACAGCAGCUGUACAUUAUCGCUGAGUAAGGCACACUCACUCUGCAGUGACUCACUCUCAACCAAUCAGAACGCUGGAUUUCAUCUAAGUAUUAUAAUGAAAAUUAAACAUGGUUUGAAACAGGAAAUGCUAAAUAAGGGUAUAUAUAUACAGAUACUAUUUCACACUUCUAGGUGGAACUGCAUUGGAAUAUAACUAACCAUAUACUGUCAAGAAUGCUUAAAGCUACUUAAGUGUGGAAAUCAAGCCCCUAUCAAUUCUUAGUUUCAGUCCGGAAGCCUGAAACCCUUUCAACGUUUUUAGAGAAGGGUUAAGACCUUCCUCUGUGAUAACUUUAUACGUGAGGCUGGCUUAGACUUGCCUCAUGGAAUUUCCUAUUAUCACUCCACUAUCUACUCCUCUCCAUCACCAUCUGAAUGCAUUCUCAUCUUGCAAUUGUUCAUAGAACUGGGUUACACCUGGAUCUUGAUAACGCCAGCUCCCGCGGCCCUGCUUGAAACAACAGUCAUAUUUCACUACUGCGAUUGCUACUAUUGUCACUGCAUUAUUUCAUUUAGUUAACAUUAUUAUUGGUAGUAUUUGUCAUAUUUAUAUUAUUACCUUUCUUAUAACUGCUGUAAAAAUAAGUAACACCUUAUUAGAUAUGCACCAAUACUGUUGGUAUUUUCAUUUCUUCUAUUUGCAUUAUAGCUUUUUUGCUUCAGUUGUUUUGGCUCUUGCUGUGGCUCUUUCUGUUUAAAACAUGGUGUUUGAUUAAAUAUUGAAAUGCAUUUGACUUUGUUCUCAACAAAUACAGGAGUUGCGGUCAGAACUUUACAAAGGACGAUGGGAGAAGAUGCAACCAGCAGUGCUCUGAUAAAGUUUGAAAUAUUUCCAGUUAGAGCCUUCUUCAGUGUUUCCUUUAACAUGUCCUUUACUCGC
ensembl:lncRNA